rnacentral:misc_RNA from 1 species
AAAGCCUCACGUUCUGCACUCUCCCUUUUAACAAGAGUCAGCAUUUCCUGAAGAUAGCUCCUAAAUGGUGUUUGCAUUGCCUGGAGAUCCUCUGGGAGGUACUGGUGCUUCAUUGAGAGGUCCAUGGCACGCAGAAGGCGCUGGUUUCUGGCAUCAACAAUCUCCCUUGGAAGGCGAUUAAGAGCUUCCUUCACGUCCAAAUCAUACAUUGGAUCAUAUAAAUCAUCAUAUCUGAGCCCGUAAUUACGGAGGCGAGAGGAGAGGGUUUUCAUGUGGAUGGCGGCGAGAGGGUUCUUCUUCGGAUCCACGAGCCAUCUAGAGAACGACGAUGCCAUUUUCAAUCGCUGACACAAACAAAGUUUUUCUCUUCG